UGGUCCUACGGGGGGCAGCAGUGGGGAAUAUUGCACAAUGGGGGAAACCCUGAUGCAGCGACGCCGCGUGGGUGACGAAGUAUUUCGGUAUGUAAAGCCCUAUCAGCAGGGAAGAAGAUGACAGUACCUGACUAAGAAGCCCCGGCUAACUACGUGCCAGCAGCCGCGGUAAUACGUAGGGGGCAAGCGUUAUCCGGAUUUACUGGGUGUGAAGGGAGCGUAGCCGGCAGCGCAAGUCUGGAGUGAAAUGCCGGGGCCCACCCCCGGACCUGCUUUGGA
rnacentral:rRNA from 1 species